rnacentral:rRNA from 1 species
AUGUCUAUGAUGAGUGAACUUAAAUUCUUUCUUGGGUUGCAAAUCAAGCAAACUAAGGAAGGUACUUUUGUCUCUCAAACAAAGUACACUAAGGAUUUGUUCAAGAAAUUCAAUAUGCAAGAAUGCAAAGGUAUGCCUACACCCAUUCCUACUAGUGGACAUCUUGACUUGACCAAAGAUGGUGAACCGGUUGAUCAAAAGGUUUAUCGCUCUAUGAUUGGAUCAUUGUUAUAUCUAUGUGCUUCACGUCCUGAUAUUAUACUAAGUGUGUGCAUGUGUGCACGAUAUCAAGCUGCUCCUAAAGAAUGUCAUCUUAAGGCCGUGAAAAGGAUAGUGAGAUACUUAAUCCAUACACCAAAUUUUGGCAUUUGGUAUCCCAAGAGGGCCUCUUUUGAUCUUGUUGGCUACUCUGACUCGGACUAUGCCGGAGACAAGGUUGAUAGAAAGUCCACUUCGGGUACUUGUCAAUUUCUUGGUAGAUCUCUUGUGUCUUGGUCCUCCAAGAAACAAAACUCGGUAUCCUUAUCCACAGCCGAAGCGGAAUACAUUGCCGCUGGUUCAUGUUGUGCUCAAUUACUUUGGAUGACCCAAACUCUUAAAGAUUAUGGGAUAUAUGUGAAACAUGUUCCAUUGCUUUGUGACAAUGAAAGUGCUAUCAAAAUUGGUCAUAAUCCUGUGCAACAUUCUCGAACUAAGCAUAUUGAAGUUCGUCAUCAUUUCAUUCGAGAUCAUGUUGCUAAGGGUGACAUUGAUCUUAAGCAUGUUCGCACCGAAAAGCAAUUAGCGGAUAUAUUCACUAAACCUCUUGAUGAGAAAGUGUUUUGCAGGUUGAGAGGAGAAUUGAACAUCAUUGAUGCUUCAAACUUGGAGUAG